UACGAAGGGGGCUAGCGUUGUUCGGAAUCACUGGGCGUAAAGCGCACGCAGGCGGAUUGAUAAGUCAGGGGUGAAAUCCCGGGGCUCAACCUCGGAAUUGCCUUUGAUACUGUCUGUCUUGAGUUUCGGGAGAGGUUGGCGGAAUUCCUAGUGUAGAGGUGAAAUUCGUAGAUAUUAGGAAGAACACCAGUGGCGAAGGCGGCCAACUGGCCCGAUACUGACGCUCAUGUGCGAAAGCGUGGGGAGCAAACAGGG
rnacentral:rRNA from 1 species